rnacentral:rRNA from 1 species
CCUGGCUCAGUAUGAACGCUAGCGACAGGCUUAACACAUGCAAGUCGAGGGGCAGCACAGGUAGCAAUACCGGGUGGCGACCGGCGCACGGGUGAGUAACGCGUAUGCAACUUACCUAUCAGAGGGGGAUAACCCGGCGAAAGUCGGACUAAUACCGCAUGAAGCAGGGGCCCCGCAUGGGGAUAUUUGCUAAAGAUUCAUCGCUGAUAGAUAGGCAUGCGUUCCAUUAGGCAGUUGGCGGGGUAACGGCCCACCAAACCGACGAUGGAUAGGGGUUCUGAGAGGAAGGUCCCCCACAUUGGUACUGAGACACGGACCAAACUCCUACGGGAGGCAGCAGUGAGGAAUAUUGGUCAAUGGCCGAGAGGCUGAACCAGCCAAGUCGCGUGAGGGAUGAAGGUUCUAUGGAUCGUAAACCUCUUUUAUAAGGGAAUAAAGUGCGGGACGUGUCCCGUUUUGUAUGUACCUUAUGAAUAAGGAUCGGCUAACUCCGUGCCAGCAGCCGCGGUAAUACGGAGGAUCCGAGCGUUAUCCGGAUUUAUUGGGUUUAAAGGGUGCGUAGGCGGCCUUUUAAGUCAGCGGUGAAAGUCUGUGGCUCAACCAUAGAAUUGCCGUUGAAACUGGGGGGCUUGAGUAUGUUUGAGGCAGGCGGAAUGCGUGGUGUAGCGGUGAAAUGCAUAGAUAUCACGCAGAACCCCGAUUGCGAAGGCAGCCUGCCAAGCCAUGACUGACGCUGAUGCACGAAAGCGUGGGGAUCAAACAGGAUUAGAUACCCUGAUAGUCCACGCAGUAAACGAUGAUCACUAGCUGUUUGCGAUACACUGUAAGCGGCACAGCGAAAGCGUUAAGUGAUCCACCUGGGGAGUACGCCGGCAACGGUGAAACUCAAAGGAAUUGACGGGGGCCCGCACAAGCGGAGGAACAUGUGGUUUAAUUCGAUGAUACGCGAGGAACCUUACCCGGGUUUGAACGCAUUCGGACCGAGGUGGAAACACCUUUUCUAGCAAUAGCCGUUUGCGAGGUGCUGCAUGGUUGUCGUCAGCUCGUGCCGUGAGGUGUCGGCUUAAGUGCCAUAACGAGCGCAACCCUUGCCACUAGUUACUAACAGGUAAAGCUGAGGACUCUGGUGGGACUGCCAGCGUAAGCUGCGAGGAAGGCGGGGAUGACGUCAAAUCAGCACGGCCCUUACAUCCGGGGCGACACACGUGUUACAAUGGCGUGGACAAAGGGAGGCCACCUGGUGACAGGGAGCGAAUCCCCAAACCACGUCUCAGUUCGGAUCGGAGUCUGCAACCCGACUCCGUGAAGCUGGAUUCGCUAGUAAUCGCGCAUCAGCCAUGGCGCGGUGAAUACGUUCCCGGGCCUUGUACACACCGCCCG